rnacentral:rRNA from 1 species
UACGAAGGGGGCUAGCGUUGCUCGGAAUCACUGGGCGUAAAGCGCACGUAGGCGGGUCCUUAAGUCAGGGGUGAAAUCCCGGAGCUCAACUCCGGAACUGCCUUUGAUACUGGGGAUCUUGAGUCCGGAAGAGGUGAGUGGAACUCCGAGUGUAGAGGUGAAAUUCGUAGAUAUUCGGAAGAACACCAGUGGCGAAGGCGGCUCACUGGUCCGGUACUGACGCUGAGGUGCGAAAGCGUGGGGAGCAAACAGGG